UUGGAGGAACGUAUAGCGAAAGCUAGUUGCAUUUAAUUUAGCGAAAGCUAAAUUGGUGCAGAAUUGAUUCUAUCAAAUAAAGUUCUAGAUAGGUUAUGAUGAUGACAUUUCCUAUCUAUGUGUCUUGACCAAAUUACGUGCCAGCAGUCGCGGUAAUACGUAGAAGACUAGUGUUAUUCAUCUUUAAUAGGUUUAAAGGGUACCUAGACGGUAAAUCCAGUCCAAAAAGGAUACUAAUUUGCUAGAGUUUAAUGUGAGGGGGCACUAAAGUACUGAUAAGUGUAGAGAUGAAAUUCUGUGAUACAAUAUAAGGACAGGUAAAGGCGAAAGCAUCUCAUUAUGUAAUAACUGACGUUGAGGGACGAAGGCUAGGAGAAGCAAAAAGGAUUAGAUACCCAAGUAGUCUUAGCAGAAAAUUAUGAAUGUCAUAGGAUGGAAAUAGUGGAUAACCAUUUUUUUUCUAUAAAUGAAAGUGUAAGCAUUCCACCUCGAGAGUAAUUUGGCAACAUUGGAACUGAAAUCAUUAGACCGUUUCUGAAACAAGUAGUGAAGUAUGUUGUUUAAUUUGAUGGUCCGCAAAAAACCUUACCACAAUUUGAAUAGAAAUUUUUAUUUUAUACAAGCGCUGCACGGUUGUCUCCAGUUAAUGUCGUGAGAUCUUGGUUAGUUCCAUUAAAUUAACGUAAACCCYUACUUUAUUUAUAUAUAGAGUAGUUCACCGCUAGAUUGGGAUGUGAUAACAGGGACUAAGACAAGUCAUCAUGGCCUUAAUAUUGUGGG
rnacentral:rRNA from 1 species